GCACUGGCCUGUCAGCGGCCGGUGGACCAUGGAGGCCGCAAGGCCCUUCGCCCGGGAGUGGAGGGCCCAGUCCCUACCCCUGGCAGUAGGGGGCGUUUUGAAGCUGCGGCUCUGUGAGCUGUGGCUACUGCUACUGGGUUCUAGUUUGAACGCCAGAUUUUUGCCAGACGAGGAGGACGUAGACUUUAUCAACGAGUACGUGAACCUCCACAAUGAGCUGCGGGGCGACGUCAUUCCCCGAGGGUCUAACUUGCGCUUCAUGUUAUGGUACUGCUGUGACUCCGAUGGUAGCAGAUUCAUCAUUGGAUUUCCAAACCUCUCACCCAGGACUCCAAGUGCACCCCUUUGAAGACUUUGUCUUCACUCCUGAAUGAUUGAUUGGGGAUCCAUUGACUUGGGAUGUAGCUUUAUCACGGACUGCUAGAGCAUGGGGAAAAAAAUGUUUGUUUACGCAUAAUAUUUAUUUACAAGAUGUACAAAUGGUCCAUCCUAAAUUUUAUGGUAUUGGUGAAAAUAUGUGGGUCGGCCCUGAAAAUGAAUUUACUGCAAGUAUUGCUAUCAGAAGUUGGCAUGCAGAGAAGAAAAUGUACAAUUUUGAAAAUGGCAGUUGCUCUGGAGACUGUUCUAAUUAUAUUCAGCUUGUUUGGGACCACUCUUACAAAGUUGGUUGUGCUGUUACUCCAUGUUCAAAAAUUGGACAUAUUAUACAUGCAGCAAUUUUCAUAUGCAACUAUGCGCCAGGAGGAACACUGACGAGAAGACCUUAUGAACCAGGAAUAUUUUGUACUCGAUGUGGCAGACGUGACAAAUGCACAGAUUUUCUAUGCAGUAAUGCAGAUCGUGACCAAGCCACAUAUUACCGAUUUUGGUAUCCAAAAUGGGAAAUGCCCCGGCCAGUUGUGUGUGAUCCACUGUGCACAUUCAUUUUAUUAUUGAGAAUAUUAUGUUUUAUCCUGUGUGUCAUAACUGUUUUGAUAGUACAGUCUCAGUUUCCAAAUAUCUUGUUGGAACAACAAAUGAUAUUUACCCCUGAGGAAUCUGAAGCAGGGAAUGAAGAGGAGGAAAAAGAGGAAGAGAAGAAAGAGAAAGAGGAAAUGGAAAUGGAAAUAAUGGAAAUGGAGGAGGAAAAAGAAGAGAGAGAGGAGGAGGAGGAGGAAACACAAAAAGAAAAGAUGGAGGAAGAGGAAAAAUAAGAGUAGAAAGAGGAGGAAAAAGAUGUAUCACCAAUAUAAACCAAAAGUGUAAUACAAAAAAAGACAGAAAAAAAAAAAAAGUAAAACACUGAGUUUUAACAAGAAAGAAAAUAUGCAAACCACCAUUGGAAUGUUUUUUAUUCCCUUCUCUCCUAUACUUAUUCAAUCAAUUUAAAUUUGUAAAACAAAGAAACAAAAAACAUGUAAGGUGGGCUCUUUGACACUAAGAACAGAUAAAGACAUGACAGGAAAAACACUGAAAAACAUUUGACCAGUCUAAUUAAUCUUAAGAUUUCACCAUGUUAUUCUAAUAAAGUAGGGAAUUUUCAUUUUCUAAACAUGUUUCCAUCUCUGUGUUUUAAAUAGUAAGGUGCUUAAGAUCAUUCCAAGUUCAUAACAACCAUUGAAUAAAAUUUGUAUUUUUUUGUUUUUACUGUUACUGUCAUAGUUUUUAUUGGUGGUAGUGGUAUUUUCAUGUGAUAUUAAGGUAUCUAAUAUUAUUAUUUGUCUUUGUGGUUUUUGGAAUAGUUUAAGUGGUACCUGUACAUCCUGCUAGGAUGCAAACUUAUUAUUUAUAAUUAAUGUUCAAUAUUUCAUUAAAGACUUGCUGUAAUUUUCUGCCACCAAGGGCUAAUAAAUGCCAUAAUUUUAAUUAGUUGUGGUAGAGGAAUCUGGGUGCUUCCAAAUUUAUAUGAUAAAAUAAAUAAAUUUUUUAAAAACUAUUAACUUGUUAUUCAAUAGGUAUAGUAAAAGUUAACAGAUUAAUAAGAUAACUGCUUACCACUAGUAAUACUAAUAAAUGAACUAAAUAAAAAUACCUAGCAUAGGAGAUUUCUUUAUCUAUAAAAUAAAUGGAUAGCACUAGAUGACCACUAAGACCUCUUCCAUCAAUGAAUAUUCAUGGAUCAACUUUGUAAAGGAAUCAAUAGUAGUUGUGAAGUACACUAAGCAAACACCUGAGGGAAAAACUUGAUUCCCAUGAAAAUAUUCCUGAACUCAGCACCUUAUAUGGCAAAAUAAUAAAUACCUUUUAUUACUCAAUUUUAAAAUAGGCAAAAAGCAAUGUAUAAUAUUUUUCCAAUUGCCAUUCCAUACUCAGCUGUCUUAUUGUUGCACACUUAUUAGAACUCAAUGUGACUGAGAUGUGAAAGGUUGAUAUAAUUCUAUUUAUGACAGGGACUUAGGGAACUUAUUCUAAUUGAGAAUCAGAGGCUUAAUAAACCUGAAGGUUUAAGUGAAAGAAAUGACAUUGAAAGAAUCACUGCAUAUCUGAUGUUUUCAAAUAAAACAAUCUCUGUUUUCUGGUUUUGAUAGAAUAUUGUGUUCUAAAGCUAUAUUUCUCAAUGUGUGGUUCCACUGAGGGAAAGAAAAAAAAAAAAACCUAGCAUAGCCAAAUACCUCAAAUGGUAUAAAUGCUAUGUGUAUUUACUCUGUUGUUCUUUAGUUGUAUCAAUAUUCUGUUAAAAACCUGUUCGAAGUAGGGCAAGAUGAGAAUUAUAUUAAAAAGCCCUGAGCUAUCCUCUUGGA